rnacentral:rRNA from 1 species
GAUUGGUANUGGACGCAGUCUGAACCAGCCAUGCCGCGUGCAGGAUGAAGGUCCUACGGAUCGUAAACUGCUUUUGUACGGGAAAAAACCCCUUGUUUCUACGAGGGUUGAUGGUACCGUAAGAAUAAGGAUCGGCUAACUCCGUGCCAGCAGCCGCGGUAAUACGGAGGAUCCGAGCGUUAUCCGGAUUUACUGGGUUUAAAGGGUGCGUAGGUGGAAUGUCAAGUCAGUGGUGAAAACCUGCAGCUUAACUGCAGACCUGCCAUUGAUACUGUCAUUCUUGAGUGUAUUUGAUGUAAGUGGAAUGUGUCAUGUAGCGGUGAAAUGCUUAGAUAUGACACAGAACACCCAUUGCGAAGGCAGCUUACAAAACUACAACUGACACUGAGGCACGAAAGCGUGGGGAUCAAACAGGAUUAGAUACCCUGGUAGUCCACGCCGUAAACGUUGAUUACUAGAUGUGUGUGAGCAAUUGCACGUGUCAAAGCGAAAGCGUUAAGUAAUCCACCUGGGGAGUACGACCGCAAGGUUGAAACUCAAAGAAAUUGACGGA